GACGAACCGUGCGAACGUUGUUCGGAUUCACUGGGCUUAAAGGGCGCGUAGGCGGGUCAGCAAGUCCGGGGUGAAAGCUUUCGGCUCAACCGGAAAAGGGCCUUGGAUACUGCUGGUCUGGAGGAAGGUAGGGGCGUGUGGAACUUCCGGUGGAGCGGUGAAAUGCGUAGAUAUCGGGAGGAACACCAGAGGCGAAGGCGGCGACCUGGACGAAUACUGACACUCAACUGCGAAAGCGUGGGGAGCAAACAGG
rnacentral:rRNA from 1 species